rnacentral:rRNA from 1 species
UACGGAGGGUGCAUGCGUUGUUCGGAAUUAUUGGGCGUAAAGGGCGCGUAGGCGGUUGUGAUAGUCAGAUGUGAAAUCCUCCGGCUUAACUGGAGAACUGCAUCUGAAACUUCAUAGCUAGAGUACAGGAGAGGGAAACGGAAUUCCCGGUGUAGAGGUGGAAUUCGUAGAUAUCGGGAGGAACACCAGUGGCGAAGGCGGUUUCCUGGCCUGAUACUGACGCUGAGGCGCGAAAGCGUGGGGAGGCAAACAGGAUUAGAUACCCUCGGUA